ACACUUGUGACACCCUCUACGCUCUGCUGUGCUGGCACCAGGAUGGAGUGGCAGAUAUGACAGACAAGGUCUUUGGCUUCACAGAGUUUUAAGUCCCGAGGAGGGGUGAUGGAGACGUGUGAGAUGGAGAAGAGGGAAGAGCUUCAGGAGGCGGACAGUGGGGAGAAAUGCCUGGACUUGAUUAUAAGGAGACAUGAGCAGGGAGAGAGAGGGGUCUCAGGGUCUACCUGCUACAAUCCAGGGGAACCCAUCUGCAGGCAGGAAUUUGGACUUUAUUUUAAUUGAACUUCCAAAGGACCCAGAAAGCUGUUGGCCUUUCUUUAUAUCAUCUGGCAUAAACAUGAAAAAAAAAU
rnacentral:lncRNA from 1 species